rnacentral:rRNA from 1 species
UACGGGGGGGGCAAGCGUUGUUCGGAAUUACUGGGCGUAAAGGGCUCGUAGGUGGCCAACUAAGUCAGACGUGAAAUCCCUCAGCUUAACUGGGGAACGGCGUCUGAUACUGGAUGGCUUGAGUUUGGGAGAGGGAUGCGGAAUUCCAGGUGUAGCGGUGAAAUGCGUAGAUAUCUGGAGGAACACCGGUGGCGAAGGCGGCAUCCUGGACCAACACUGACACUGAGGAGCGAAAGCCAGGGGAGCAAACGGG